UACGUAGGGGGCAAGCGUUGUCCGGAAUCAUUGGGCGUAAAGAGCGCGUAGGCGGUCCGGUAAGUCCGCUCUGAAAGUCAAGGGCUCAACCCUUGAAUGCCGGUGGAUACUGUCGGACUAGAGUCCGGAAGAGGCGAGUGGAAUUCCUGGUGUAGCGGUGAAAUGCGCAGAUAUCAGGAGGAACACCGAUGGCGAAGGCAGGUCUCUGGGCAUUAACUGACGCUGAGGAGCGAAAGCAUGGGGAGCGAACAGG
rnacentral:rRNA from 1 species